rnacentral:rRNA from 1 species
UACGAAGGGGCUAGCGUUGCUCGGAAUCACUGGCGUAAGCGCACGUAGGCGGCUUACUAAGUCAGGGUGAAAUCCUGGAGCUCAACUCCAGAACUGCCUUUGAUACUGGUGAGCUUGAGUCCGGAAGAGGUGAGUGGAACUGCGAGUGUAGAGGUGAAUUCGUAGAUAUUCGCAAGAACACCAGUGGCGAAGGCGGCUCACUGGUCCGGUACUGACGCUGAGGUGCGAAAGCGUGGGAGCAACAGG